CUCUGAGACACCAGCAAAACCCUCAGCUCAUGAUGCUUGGUGGACCAUCUAGGAAACAUCUCCUUUUUCCAAUUCUGUCACUUGAGGUGCAUGCUGCUUUCUUCCACUUAUUGGGAUAUGGCUUCAGCAGAUAAAUGCCUUUGAAUCAUCUUGUCACCAUAGUUGUAAUGAAUAUCAUCAGUAAUGAUUUCUGGUCCAGCUACUACGCUCAGCCCAAAAUGCUUUCCGUAAAUCAAGAGAAGUAUAUUCAUGAACAGGAAAGAGCAAACAAGCUCAGUAGGAAAACAGGAAAAGAAAUCCGAGUUCUUGGUUUGACUAUCACCCCUGGUGGUGCUUGGGGAUAACCCCUGGGUAUGUAACCAUGCAGUGCCCAGAUUGGGACCAGGCAAUGCUGGGGUGAUUGAACCUGGAGCUCCUGAUAAUUACAAUUCUUAAAAGUACUGAAGUUUACAGAAGUAAAAGAUUCAGUGAUCUUAAGAAAUCACCUGAGGUUAAAACCAGCCCUUACCUGAGGAGAGGUGAUCACUCUACCAUGGAAAAAUCUGAGUUAACAAGCAAGAGUGAGGGAGAAGAAUAGCUCACACCAAUGACCCUGAUAUACCCAAUGAAGAUCAAGGAGAAGAAAUCCAGCAGCCAUAAGAGGCAA